GGCUUAUUGAAAAUAAUUUUAAGUCUAGCCUGCCCAAUGAGUAUUAUUUUAAAUGGCCGCGGUAUAUUGACCGUGCAAAGGUAGCAUAAUCAUUAGUUUUUUAAAUGAAAGCUGGAAUGAAAGGUUUGAUGAAAAAAUAAUUGUCUCUGUUUAAUUUUUUUUUGAAAUUUAUUUUUAAGUGAAAAAGCUUAAAUUUUUAUAAAAGACGAGAAGACCCUAUAGAGUUUUAUAUUUACAUAAAUAAAUAUUAUUUGGAAUUUUAAAUUUUAUUUAUAUAUUUAUUUAAUUGGGGUGAUUGAAAAAUUUAAUAAACUUUUUUAAAAAAAUCAUUAAUUUAUGAGUAUAUGAUCCUUUAUUGAAGAUUAAAAGAAAAAAUUACCUUAGGGAUAACAGCGUAAUUUUUUUAAAAGUUCUUAUUAAAAAAAAAGAUUGCGACCUCGAUGUUGGAUUAAAAUUAAUUUUUGGUGAAGAAGCUAAAAAAUUAGGUCUGUUCGACCUUUAAAAUUUUACAUGAUCUGAGUUUAAACCGGUGUGAG
rnacentral:rRNA from 1 species